rnacentral:rRNA from 1 species
UACGGAGGAUCCAAGCGUUAUCCGGAUUUAUUGGGCGUAAAGGGUGUGUAGGUGGCGCCGUAAGUCGGGUGUGAAAUUUCGGAGCUUAACUCCGAAACUGCAUUCGAUACUGCGGUGCUUGAGGACUGGAGAGGAGACUGGAAUUCAUGGUGUAGCAGUGAAAUGCGUAGAGAUCAUGAGGAAGACCAGUGGCGAAGGCUGGUCUCUGGACAGUUCCUGACACUGAGACACGAAGGCCAGGGGAGCAAUCGGG